UCAUCUGGGCGCUUGGAUCGACGUUUCCAUCGCUGUUCUAGAGCUGACCUCUGAUUGGGCACUUCAGUGCUUAGAACGCUCACCCUGAACAGCUGUUAUCCUGCGAAUAAAGAUAAGAAGCCAUUUUCUAUGGAUCCACUGAUCAUCAUCUUCUCAAACCAGAAGGCUCGUUCCUACAAGCACAUCUGAGUCCUGCAAGCAGGUAAUUUGUGUUUAACUAUAUAUAUUUUUGUAUAACAUUUAUAAUUUUUAAAUUAAAUUUU
rnacentral:lncRNA from 1 species